AUGGCUCAGAACGAACGCUGGCGGCGCGUCUUAAGCAUGCAAGUCGAACGGCAAGAGGUAGCAAUACCUCCUAGAGUGGCGGACUGGUGAGUAACACGUGGGUGACAUACCCUUCAGAUGGGGAUAGCUAUUAGAAAUAGUAGAUAAUACCGAAUACGAGCACAGGGGUUAGAGAUCUGUGAGGAAAGGAGCUAAGGCUCCGCUGAAGGAAUGGCCUGCGGCCCAUUAGCUAGUUGGUGAGGUAAGAGCCCACCAAGGCGAUGAUGGGUAUCCGGCCUUAGAGGGUGAACGGACACAUUGGGACUGAGAUACGGCCCAGACUCCUACGGGAGGCAGCAGCUAAGAAUAUUCCGCAAUGGACGAAAGUCUGACGGAGCGACGCCGCGUGGAUGAAGAAGGCCGGAAGGUUGUAAAAUCCUUUUGAAACUGAAGAAUAAGCGUUGUAGGGAAUGACAGCGUGGUGACAGUAGGUUUUGAAUAAGCAACGGCUAAUUACGUGCCAGCCGCUGC
rnacentral:rRNA from 1 species